GGGAUGUGCUAGACGAAUGAUUUUGUUUUAUGGAGCUUUGAAGAGCGAUGAAUGGCACAAAAGUGGUGCCAAAUUGAUAUCUCAAACACCCAUUGUUGAUGUGUGAUGCUGAUAAUACAGAGACAGCUAGAGUGACAGAGUUUGAUGAAUAAACUUAAAUUAAAAAACAGAAAUAACCACCAUCUCUCUCAGAGGUCGUCUUUCUCAUUAUUGUGGGGAAACCUCAAAGGGCAUCAGGAAAACCUUCAUCAACCUCUUUGUGCCCAGUGGCUUGUGCAACAGUGUUUCAGAAAUUAUCAUUAAAAUGGGGAUAAUGGAUGACUGGCCACACAUAUGGGGCUAUGGACAAGCUUCAGAGCAGGCUGCUAGGUGGUGGUUUAGUAGUUUAUACUCCGGGUCCCGGCGUGAGCACAUUGAAGGGUCCCAGAGUGACAGUUCAACCACCGCACACCUAUCCUGGGCAGAACCAGUACUAGGUGCCUUCACCUCUGCAAGGAACUGACAACUUCUGUACAUGCCAGGGGCAGUGGUACAGUGCGAAUGGUCGUAGAAAGGAUUUCAUAACCAAUCACAACAGAGGUGACCUGGUCUGCCCGGGAAUCGAACCCGGGUUGUCAAAUUCAGAGUCCAACGCUCUACCGAUUGAGCUAACCGGGCGGACAUAUUAGCUACAUUAGAUGACAAGCCAUCUAUGCUGGACAUUCUUCACAAUAAAAUGUGAUGUCACAGGAGCUGUCUAUCUCAACAGCUCACACUCUCCGUAUUUGACUAAAGGAAUGAAUAAAGUCACGGCAGAAGUUGGAUUGAGGAAUGUCCAUGUCACUACCCAUCAUUUGGAAGGAGUUGGAUAAAAAAAGUGUGGCCUAUGUAUUGAAACUGGUCCGACAUUCCAGUUACGGACAGACUUGAUUUGUUUGAUUACAUUUCUGACCAACAUGAUGGUCUAAAAGAACACUUACUGGUAACUGGUAAAAUCAUGGCCCAGUUGUUCCAAGAGGCAGGCGAGUGGGAAGUUACUAGACUCCAUUUCUUUAUGGGUUGAUCUGAGGUUCCAGUUCAGUUAAAGUACUGAUGGAACACCAAGUGUUUGCCAUAAUACAGCAACAUUUGAUUUGUAACUAUGUAUUUGUUUAAAUUGUUGAAACAGUACUGUUUACUAAAUAAUGUGUAUAUAUAUGAAGAAUAAUAUUAUGAAUAAUUUGUAAGAACCUUUUGAUAUUAAGUAAAAUGUCGAUAAGUCUAAAUAUGUAUCUGUAAAUCAUUUUUGUAUAUCUGUAAAGAUUACAUUGCCUAUAUUCCUCAAUUUAUAUUUUUCUUUUAGCCAGUCAAUAACUUUUCUUCAGUUCUAUCUUCAAAAUUGUCGGGACAGGGAUUAUAGCCCUUAAUUAACCCAAAUAUGUAACAUUCAAUGCAAAAUUUCUAAUUGGCUGCAAUUAGGCAGUUCAGAUGCAGGAACAAACAUCACUUGGGUCCUUAAUAAUAGCUUUCCAUCUGACAAGGUUCAAUAAAAGGAAUUUGUCAUGUGACUGUUUAUUAACUCUCGAUUUAUUGAAAGUGAAAUUACUUACAUGAUUUGUAAGAACUAAAUUAUA